rnacentral:tRNA from 1 species
UUUUAUUUAGUUUAUUAAAAUAACUGCUUGUCAAGUAGUAGAUGUAAUUCAAUAUACUAUUAGUUUAAAA